rnacentral:tRNA from 1 species
GUCCGGAUAAUUUACCAUAAUCAUUUGAAAUUAUUGCACAAAACGAACAAUUUAAAAUCCCUCGGCGUUCGCGCUGUGCGGGUUCAAGUCCCGCUCCGGGUACCA